GACGGGUGAUCCUAUCUUGAUAUAGCCCUCCCGAAGAAUAUGUGUAAAAUGGAAUUAGCCCGGACAGGUAAUCCGAAUUAGGGUCUGAAUUUAGCCCGGACUGGUAAUUCAGAUCCAAGCUCAUUAGAGUAAUUGUCGUUGCAGGGGAUUUAGCCUGGACUGGUAAUCCCGACAAUACUCUAUGAGUUUAUAUUGCAGGGGAUUUAGCCUGGACUGGUAAUCCCGCUGUCAGGUUGAGGUUCGCGUGAGUGUGCUCUCUGAAAUGGAAAUGUGCACACAUGAAUAUGAAUUGACAGACCCGGAAUUGUACACUAAAAGUGUACCUCUGAAAAUCCAUCGAAAUUCUGAUAAAUUCAACGGGAUAAAUAUGGAAAAAUAACAAGGAAAUGGAAAUCAUGGUAUUGACGAGCUCAUCAAUCAUGUGUUAAGAGCUCGGAGGUCGGAUUUGGUCGGAGACACAUCACACUGUCAACCUCAGGAUUUCGGUAUAUAAAGAAACUUUAUUUUGGAAAUCAAUGGCAUGUAUAAGCUAACAAAGUAAAUGUUAACGUGAAAUGAAUGUAAAGUUAGCCAUUAGUAUGGUUAACAAACCUGGUUUUAGAUAUGUGAUGACGUUAUCUUAUCUUAUAAA